rnacentral:rRNA from 1 species
AGAGUUUGAUCAUGGCUCAGAAUCAACGCUGGCGGCGUGCCUAACACAUGCAAGUCGAACGCGAAAGUCCCGCAAGGGAUAAGUAGAGUGGCAAACGGGUGAGUAACACGUGGGUGACCUGCCUUCGAGUGGGGGAUAACGUCCCGAAAGGGACGCUAAUACCGCAUAACAUGCCGCCUUUUAACAGGCGGACAUCAAAGCUGGGGAUCGCAAGACCUAGCGCUGGAAGAGGGGCCCGCGUCUGAUUAGCUAGUUGGUGGGGUAAUGGCUCACCAAGGCAACGAUCAGUAGCCGGCCUGAGAGGGCGGACGGCCACACUGGGACUGAGACACGGCCCAGACUCCUACGGGAGGCAGCAGUGGGGAAUUGUUCGCAAUGGGCGCAAGCCUGACGACGCAACGCCGCGUGGAGGAUGAAGAUUUUCGGAUCGUAAACUCCUUUCGAUCGAGACGAAUGGCCUUCGGGUGAACAAUCCGGAGGAAUGACGUACCGAGAGUAGAGCC